UACGUAGGGUGCGAGCGUUAAUCGGAAUUACUGGGCGUAAAGCGUGCGCAGGCGGUUUGUUAAGACAGAUGUGAAAUCCCCGGGCUUAACCUGGGAACUGCAUUUGUGACUGGCAAGCUAGAGUAUGGCAGAGGGGGUAGAAUUCCACGUGUAGCAGUGAAAUGCGUAGAGAUGUGGAGGAAUACCGAUGGCGAAGGCAGCCCCUGGGCCAAUACUGACGCU
rnacentral:rRNA from 1 species